AAAUGCGACGGAGUAAACGAGUUUUACGUUUCUGUAACAGUUCUUCUUCUCCGAUCGAACAGCAUAGAAACUCAGCCGACUCUCAUCAAUCAAUACCGUUCUUUACUUCCAUCAAUCAUUUUAUUCUUAACGAUUUCGUUUCGCCUCCCUCUUUUCCUCCUCCUUUAUAUACCCAUAUUCUUUUCUUUCAACAAACUACAUCCGGCUUUUCUGAUAUCGGUAAACAUAUCCAUCCGGCUUCACAUUUUGUUAAUCUAUUGCAACCUUCCCUGGUAGUCAUUUUCUCCAACCAUGUUGUUGGUGAUUUCAAUUUAAGCUCAGCUUGGUCGUGUCGAGGAAGAGACUAAAGGCAUCGUCUUGAUCCGUGAGAAGCUUUGGCUGAUCACGAGUGAAAAGAAGUUGUUUUUGUCAGGAAGAAGAUUGAUCCUGUCAACAAAGAAUUCUCAACAAGCCAAUCUGUAAAGCUACCACCAGCAGCAGAGAAUCCUCCAGCUGAUCUAGAAAAGGUGAAACGGGUAUCACAGUUUAACAAUCAAGGUUUGUGUCUACUCUAUUAAUUUUCAUUAUUUGUUCUGCUCAAAAUAAUUUCGUUCGAUUCCUUAUGAUGUUAGCUUGAUUCUUAAAAAAAAACUGCAAGGUCAUAUCAUUGUUUUCCAUCCACAUAAUCUCCUUUUUUUUUACAUAAUCUCCUUUCUAUUUAAGCAAGAAGUCAGACAUGGAAAUAAGAUCAAAAGGAAUGUUAGUUUAGAAGCGUAACCAGUGUUCCGUUCCUGUCGGAGCGCCGCCACCGAGGACCAUAGUCAGAAUCAAGUAUAGUUCUGUCUACCAUGAGAUUAAUAUCAGUCCUCAAGCUUCAUUUGGCAGGGGAAUAACUUAAAGAAUUGUAAUAUAUAUAAUUUAAGUUUAACUGAAAGCUUUUUGGUAACCCACUACUUCAUCUUUAUUGCUUCUUAUCUUCCUUUUCAAGGACGCUGACGGAGUAUAUAAUUAGACAGUCUGAGAGUCUUCACAUGCAUUCAUAUGGUACUUCAAUCAUAGAACCCUAGAUAUCUCUCAGCACUCUCCAAGAAGUGAUUCAUUUCUCUGAGCUAAAGGUUUUUGUAUCAUGAUCUUGAAGUACAAUGGUGGAAAGCUGAGAGAUGAGACCAAGCUUAAAAGUGCUGUCCAGAUGCAAGACCUAUUAGAUGCGCAAGAAUGUUAGGUCCCAAAACAAGGGCUGGGACCGUGUUCUGAUAGUGUCCAUGUUAGUAUGCCUGUCAACAGCACUGGACUCGGUGCUGACAUUGAACCUCCUGUAACCAGUACCGGUCUCCCUGGUGUGGCCAUGGAUGAAGGCAUCCGAUGCAAUCACAGUUGAGGGAGGUAGCCCCUCUGCAAAGAAGCCACUUCAAAAACUCAACCAUCGGACAUCAUUACGCAUAAGUGUAGUGUCACAACUACUCUUUUUUUUUGUCACAACUACUCUACUAGCUCUUCUUUUUUAAUUCCGCAAAAUGAAACAAGUUUUCUUGCAGCACUGUGUUUCUGUGUUUUUCGAUAAUAAACGGAAUAAUAUUAUUAUAUGAAGGGAAAUAAACGGAAGGAGGCAUGGCGAGCCAGCUACCA